rnacentral:lncRNA from 12 species
CCACAUUCCUGCCUCCCUGGCCCACUCUUCAGCUCUGCCUAAAUUACACGGGCUACCUCGUGUAUUUGAAUAAAUAUGCCUUAGGCUGAGGUCGGCCAGAGUUAGCUUCCAUUGCUCAUGAUAAAAGAAACCUCACUGAUGCUGACAAAAGUACUUCUGGGAGUUUCCUGGUUGUUUAAAAUUCAAGAUCUAGGCCAACACCCACUCUGGGCAUGAUUCCCACCCACUUUGGUCUGGCCCAGGCUUCUAUGGUUUCUAAAUUCAAACAUCAGGAAGAGACCUUCAGAGGAGGGAGAGGAGGAGAGAAGAGGGCAUUUGGACCAAGAUCAAAUUCAAAUGCUUCUCUGUGGAUGGGAAACCCAGUGGAAGGCAGUGAUUUACCCCAGAGGAGCACUUGGGCAUCAAGGGGACCGGGACUCCUGGGCAAGAGAUGGAAACAGUUGAGAGGCCCCUGCUCCACCUCUGCCACAGACCCGCAGUGCCACCUCAGGUGGGUAACUUUCAUUCAUUCAAUAAUUUUAAAAGAUCUUUCUAUGUGCCAAGCACUUUUCUACUAUUUUCCAGGCCUUCGAAGUUGUGUCUCUGUGCUGGAAGAAAUAAAACAAUCCCUCCAGGGUGGCGGUAAGAAGGUUCUGCAGAGAGGAUCCCUGGGUGGCGCAACGGUUUGGCGCCUGCCUUUGGCCCAGGGCGCGAUCCCGGAGACCUGGGAUCGAAUCCCACGUCGGGCUCCUGGUGCAUGGAGCCUGCUUCUCCCUCUGCCUAUGUCUCUGCCUCUCUUUCUCUCUCUGUGUGACUAUCAUGAAUAAAAAAAAAAAAAAAAAAAAAAGUUCUGCAGACACUUGUGGCGCUGUGCCUGUGUCGCCUUAGCCAGCUCAGGCUGCCAGGACAAAACACAGACUGGGUGGCUUAAAUGACAAAUGUAUUUUCUCAGGGUUCUGAAGGCUGGAAAGCCCGAGAUUGCAGGGUUGGUUUCUGGUGAGAGCUGUCUUCUGGGCUUGCAGAUGGCUGCUUUCCCAUGGUCCUCGAAAGGCCUUUCUUCUGUGCAUGUGGAGAGAGAGCUUGAGCUCUCCUGUGUCUCUUCUUCUAAGGUCACUACGCUUAUGGGCUCAGGGCCCCAUCCGUGUGACUUCAUUUAGCUUUAAUUAUGUCCUCAGAGGCUUCAUCUCCAAACUGGUAGGUUAGGCCUUCACAUGAACGGGUUGGGGGACACAUUUAGCCCUAACACGUAAAUUAUGGAUGUCCACAUUUCCUGGAUUUGGUAUCUGAGCACAAUCUCCUCCAACAACCCUUCACAAAUGAAGAGGAUGGCCCCCUUCGUCUUUUAAAAGAGCCCUUUAAAAUGUAUUCUUUCAAUGCACAUGAGUUAUUGGCAUCUCUAAGAGGUCCCUGUCAUUGUGGUAGGGUGCCAAAUUUAGCAAAUAAAAGUAUGGGAUGGCCAGUUAAAUUUCA